rnacentral:rRNA from 3 species
UAAGCAUAUCACUGAGCGCAGGAGAAGAAACUAACCAGGAUUUCCCUAGUAACGGCGAGCGAACCGGAAAGAGCCCAGCUUGAAAAUCGUGGCGCCCCGGCGCCUCGAAUUGUAGUCUGGAGAAGGUCCCUCUGCGGCGCGCCGGACCCAAGUUCCCUGGAAAGGGACGCCAUCGAGGGUGAGAGCCCCGCUGAUUCCGGAGUGCGCCGCUCCACGAGGACCUGUCUGCGAGUCGGGCUGUUUGGGAAUGCAGCCCUAAGCGGGUGGUAAAUUCCAUCCAAGGCUAAAUAUUGGCAAGAGACCGAUAGCGAACAAGUACCGCGAGGGAAAGAUGAAAAGGACUUUGAAAAGAGAGUUAAAAAGUGCUUGAAAUUGCUGGGAGGGAAGCGAAUGGAAGCUGCGGGUGCGCCCCGGUUGGAUGUGGAACGGCUGUCAAAGGCUGGUCCGCCGCUCAACGCGGGGCGCUGGUCAGCGUGGGCCAUCGCGGCGGGACAAGAGCGGGGAUUCGCUUCCCGCCGAUGCCGCUGCGGUGGCCGAGGAACGAAGCGCGCGCUCUUCAUGGGCGUGGGACUUGUCCCAACUGCGCGCUCGGGACGCUGGCGUAUUGAGCUCUUCAUCCGACCCGUCUUGAAACACGGACCAAGGAGUCUAACAUGUAUGCGAGCCGGUGGGCGGCAAACCCAUUGAGGCGCAAGUAACCUGACAGGUGGGACCCCGACCGCAAGGGAGGGAGCACCAUCGACCGACCGUGAUCUUCUGUGAAGGGUUC